rnacentral:rRNA from 1 species
CCUACGGGGGGCUGCAGUGGGGAAUAUUGCACAAUGGGCGAAAGCCUGAUGCAGCAACGCCGCGUGAAGGAAGAAGGGUUUCGGCUCGUAAACUUCUAUUAACAGGGACGAAAGAAAUGACGGUACCUGAAUAAGAAGCCCCGGCUAACUACGUGCCAGCAGCCGCGGUAAUACGUAGGGGGCAAGCGUUAUCCGGAAUUACUGGGUGUAAGGGGUGAGUAGGCGGCAUGGUAAGCCAGAUGUGAAAGCCUUGGGCUUAACCCGAGGAUUGCAUUUGGAACUAUCAAGCUAGAGUACAGGGGAGGAAAGCGGAAUUCCUAGUGUAGCGGUGAAAUGCGUAGAUAUUAGGAAGAACACCAGUGGCGAAGGCAGCAUACCGGCGCCCGACUGACGCUGAGGCACGAAAGCGUGGGGAUCGAACAGGAUUAGAUACCCCAGUAGUC